rnacentral:rRNA from 1 species
UACGUAGGUGGCAAGCGUUGUCCGGAUUUACUGGGCGUAAAGAGCGCGCAGGCGGUCGGUCAAGUCGAGUGUGAAAGCCCCUGGCUCAACUGGGGAGGGUCACUCGAUACUGAUCGACUCGAAGGCAGGAGAGGGAAGUGGAAUUCCCGGUGUAGUGGUGAAAUGCGUAGAUAUCGGGAGGAACACCAGUGGCGAAGGCGACUUCCUGGCCUGUUCUUGACGCUGAGGCGCGAAAGCUAGGGGAGCAAACGGG